GGUUAAGCGACUAAGCGUACACGGUGGAUGCCCUGGCAGUCAGAGGCGAUGAAGGACGUGCUAAUCUGCGAUAAGCGUCGGUAAGGUGAUAUGAACCGUUAUAACCGGCGAUUUCCGAAUGGGGAAACCCAGUGUGUUUCGACACACUAUCAUUAACUGAAUCCAUAGGUUAAUGAGGCGAACCGGGGGAACUGAAACAUCUAAGUACCCCGAGGAAAAGAAAUCAACCGAGAUUCCCCCAGUAGCGGCGAGCGAACGGGGAGCAGCCCAGAGCCUGAAUCAGUGUGUGUGUUAGUGGAAGCGUCUGGAAAGGCGCGCGAUACAGGGUGACAGCCCCGUACACAAAAAUGCACAUGCUGUGAGCUCGAUGAGUAGGGCGGGACACGUGGUAUCCUGUCUGAAUAUGGGGGGACCAUCCUCCAAGGCUAAAUACUCCUGACUGACCGAUAGUGAACCAGUACCGUGAGGGAAAGGCGAAAAGAACCCCGGCGAGGGGAGUGAAAAAGAACCUGAAACCGUGUACGUACAAGCAGUGGGAGCCUCUUUAUGGGGUGACUGCGUACCUUUUGUAUAAUGGGUCAGCGACUUAUAUUCUGUAGCAAGGUUAACCGAAUAGGGGAGCCGAAGGGAAACCGAGUCUUAACUGGGCGUUAAGUUGCAGGGUAUAGACCCGAAACCCGGUGAUCUAGCCAUGGGCAGGUUGAAGGUUGGGUAACACUAACUGGAGGACCGAACCGACUAAUGUUGAAAAAUUAGCGGAUGACUUGUGGCUGGGGGUGAAAGGCCAAUCAAACCGGGAGAUAGCUGGUUCUCCCCGAAAGCUAUUUAGGUAGCGCCUCGUGAAUUCAUCUCCGGGGGUAGAGCACUGUUUCGGCAAGGGGGUCAUCCCGACUUACCAACCCGAUGCAAACUGCGAAUACCGGAGAAUGUUAUCACGGGAGACACACGGCGGGUGCUAACGUCCGUCGUGAAGAGGGAAACAACCCAGACCGCCAGCUAAGGUCCCAAAGUCAUGGUUAAGUGGGAAACGAUGUGGGAAGGCCCAGACAGCCAGGAUGUUGGCUUAGAAGCAGCCAUCAUUUAAAGAAAGCGUAAUAGCUCACUGGUCGAGUCGGCCUGCGCGGAAGAUGUAACGGGGCUAAACCAUGCACCGAAGCUGCGGCAGCGACGCUUAUGCGUUGUUGGGUAGGGGAGCGUUCUGUAAGCCUGUGAAGGUGUGCUGUGAGGCAUGCUGGAGGUAUCAGAAGUGCGAAUGCUGACAUAAGUAACGAUAAAGCGGGUGAAAAGCCCGCUCGCCGGAAGACCAAGGGUUCCUGUCCAACGUUAAUCGGGGCAGGGUGAGUCGACCCCUAAGGCGAGGCCGAAAGGCGUAGUCGAUGGGAAACAGGUUAAUAUUCCUGUACUUGGUGUUACUGCGAAGGGGGGACGGAGAAGGCUAUGUUGGCCGGGCGACGGUUGUCCCGGUUUAAGCGUGUAGGCUGGUUUUCCAGGCAAAUCCGGAAAAUCAAGGCUGAGGCGUGAUGACGAGGCACUACGGUGCUGAAGCAACAAAUGCCCUGCUUCCAGGAAAAGCCUCUAAGCAUCAGGUAACAUCAAAUCGUACCCCAAACCGACACAGGUGGUCAGGUAGAGAAUACCAAGGCGCUUGAGAGAACUCGGGUGAAGGAACUAGGCAAAAUGGUGCCGUAACUUCGGGAGAAGGCACGCUGAUAUGUAGGUGAGGUCCCUUGCGGAUGGAGCUGAAAUCAGUCGAAGAUACCAGCUGGCUGCAACUGUUUAUUAAAAACACAGCACUGUGCAAACACGAAAGUGGACGUAUACGGUGUGACGCCUGCCCGGUGCCGGAAGGUUAAUUGAUGGGGUCAGCGCAAGCGAAGCUCUUGAUCGAAGCCCCGGUAAACGGCGGCCGUAACUAUAACGGUCCUAAGGUAGCGAAAUUCCUUGUCGGGUAAGUUCCGACCUGCACGAAUGGCGUAAUGAUGGCCAGGCUGUCUCCACCCGAGACUCAGUGAAAUUGAACUCGCUGUGAAGAUGCAGUGUACCCGCGGCAAGACGGAAAGACCCCGUGAACCUUUACUAUAGCUUGACACUGAACAUUGAGCCUUGAUGUGUAGGAUAGGUGGGAGGCUUAGAAGUGUGGACGCCAGUCUGCAUGGAGCCGACCUUGAAAUACCACCCUUUAAUGUUUGAUGUUCUAACGUUGACCCGUGAUCCGGGUUGCGGACAGUGUCUGGUGGGUAGUUUGACUGGGGCGGUCUCCUCCUAAAGAGUAACGGAGGAGCACGAAGGUUGGCUAAUCCUGGUCGGACAUCAGGAGGUUAGUGCAAUGGCAUAAGCCAGCUUGACUGCGAGCGUGACGGCGCGAGCAGGUGCGAAAGCAGGUCAUAGUGAUCCGGUGGUUCUGAAUGGAAGGGCCAUCGCUCAACGGAUAAAAGGUACUCCGGGGAUAACAGGCUGAUACCGCCCAAGAGUUCAUAUCGACGGCGGUGUUUGGCACCUCGAUGUCGGCUCAUCACAUCCUGGGGCUGAAGUAGGUCCCAAGGGUAUGGCUGUUCGCCAUUUAAAGUGGUACGCGAGCUGGGUUUAGAACGUCGUGAGACAGUUCGGUCCCUAUCUGCCGUGGGCGCUGGAGAACUGAGGGGGGCUGCUCCUAGUACGAGAGGACCGGAGUGGACGCAUCACUGGUGUUCGGGUUGUCAUGCCAAUGGCACUGCCCGGUAGCUAAAUGCGGAAGAGAUAAGUGCUGAAAGCAUCUAAGCACGAAACUUGCCCCGAGAUGAGUUCUCCCUGACUCCUUGAGAGUCCUGAAGGAACGUUGAAGACGACGACGUUGAUAGGCCGGGUGUGUAAGCGCAGCGAUGCGUUGAGCUAACCGGUACUAAUGAACCGUGAGGCUUAACCUU
rnacentral:rRNA from 1 species